CAGGCGGAGUGCUUAAUGCGUUAACUGCGGCACCGAGGUUCGACCCCCGACACCUAGCACUCAUCGUUUACGGCGUGGACUACCAGGGUAUCUAAUCCUGUUCGCUCCCCACGCUUUCGUGCCUCAGCGUCAGUUGCAGUCCAGAGAGUCGCCUUCGCCACUGGUGUUCCUCCUAAUAUCUACGCAUUUCACCGCUACACUAGGAAUUCCACUCUCCUCUCCUGCACUCAAGCCCUACAGUUUCAAAGGCUUACUACGGUUGAGCCGUAGCCUUUGACCUCUGACCUAUAGGGCCGCCUACGCACCCUUUACGCCCAAUGAUUCCGGAUAACGCUUGCCCCCUACGUAUUACCGCGGCUGCUGGCACGUAGUUAGCCGGGGCUUCCUCCUAAGGUACCGUCAUUAUCUUCCCUUAGGACAGAGCUUUACGACCCGAAAGCCUUCAUCGCUCACGCGGCGUUGCUGCAUCAGGCUUUCGCCCAUUGUGCAAUAUUCCCCACUGCUGCCUCCCGUAGAGUCUGGACCGUGUCUCAGUUCCAGUGUGGCCGUUCACCCUCUCAGGCCGGCUACUGAUCGUCGCCUUGGUGAGCCAUUACCUCACCAACUAGCUAAUCAGACGCGGGCCCAUCCUGUACCGAAAUUCUUUGACCUUAUGAGGAUGCCCUCUAAAGGUGUUAUGGGGUAUUAGCAAUGGUUUCCAUUGUUAUCCCCUGUACAGGGUAGGUUGCCACGCGUUACUCACCCGUCCGCCGCUAAGUUAAGUUCAUUCCACCGAAGCUUCCUGAAAAUAACUCCGCUCGACUUGCAUGUAUUAKUACGCGGCAGCGUUCAUCCUGAGC
rnacentral:rRNA from 1 species